rnacentral:lncRNA from 1 species
GGACAAGUGUGCGAAAAAUUGUUACAAGAAAAGAGAAAAGAAAAAUUGGAGGCUCUUUGAAUGCUCCGGAAAAAGAAAUAAAAAGAGAAAAGAAAAAUAGAACUCAUCAAAACGCACUUGUCCCAAUUAAACGACUUGAUUACAUUUGAAAUACUCAAUCAGUUGAGUAAAGUUAAAGAGUCGAUGUCGAACCCCUGUAUAUCAAAAUAAGCACAGGUACAAGAAACAUAACAGGAGUGCCGAGCCCAAACCCCUUGUGUAUCCGUUUGUNN